AUGAGGAGCUUGCUCUUCAAAUCGAGUGACGAACGGGUGAGUAACGCGUGAGGAACCUGCCUCAAAGAGGGGGACAACAGUUGGAAACGACUGCUAAUACCGCAUAAGCCCACGGCUCGGCAUCGAGCAGAGGGAAAAGGAGCAAUCCGCUUUGAGAUGGCCUCGCGUCCGAUUAGCUAGUUGGUGAGGUAACGGCCCACCAAGGCGACUAUCGGUAGCCGGACUGAGAGGUUGAACGGCCACUUUGGGACUGAGACACGGCCCAUACUCCUACGGGAGGCAGCAGUGGGGAAUAUUGCACAAUGGGGGAAACCCUGAUGCAGCGACGCCGCGUGGAGGAAGAAGGUCUUCGGGAUUGUAAAACUCCUGUUGUUUGAGGAAGAUAAUGACGGUACUCAACAAGGAAGUGACGGCUAACUACGUGCCAGCAGCCGCGGUAAAACGUAGGUCACAAGCGUUGUCCGGAAUUACUGGGUGUAAAGGGAGCGCAGGCGGGAGAACAAGUUGGAAGUGAAAUCCAUGGGCUCAACCCAUGAACUGCUUUCAAAACUGUUUUUCUUGAGUAGUGCAGAGGUAGGCGGAAUUCCCGGUGUAGCGGUGGAAUGCGUAGAUAUCGGGAGGAACACCAGUGGCGAAGGCGGCCUACUGGGCACCAACUGACGCUGAGGCUCGAAAGUGUGGGUAGCAAACAGGAUUAGAUACCCUGGUAGUCCACACCGUAAACGAUGAUUACUAGGUGUUGGAGGAUUGACCCCUUCAGUGCCGCAGUUAACACAAUAAGUAAUCCACCUG
rnacentral:rRNA from 1 species